rnacentral:rRNA from 1 species
AACGAACGCUGGCGGCAGGCUUAACACAUGCAAGUCGAGCGCCCCGCAAGGGGAUCGGCAGACUGGUGGGUAGCGGGUGGGGACGGACCCUUAUCUGUGGGAUAGCUCCGGGAAACGGGAAUUAAUACCGAACGGGCGCUAUGGGGGAAAGAGAUAUCGGAUAGGGGUCGGGCCGCGUUGGAUUAGCGAGGGGGGGGGGUAAACGCCUGCCAAGGCGGCGAGCCAGAGCUGGUGUGAGAGGAUGAUCAGCCACAUUGGGACUGAGACCCGGCCCAAACUCCUGCGGGAGGCAGCAGUGGUGAAUAUUGGACAGUGGGCGCAAGGCUGCUCCGGCCCUGGCGCGAGGGUGAUGAAGGCCUUAGGGUUGUAAUGCUCUUUCGCCGGAGAAGAUAAUGCCGGUAUCCGGAGAAGAGGCCCCGGCUACUUCGUG